rnacentral:hammerhead_ribozyme from 1 species
AUCUAUGUGAUGGGUCCCAAAUUGGACGAAACGCGCGUCAAACUGGAU